ensembl:lincRNA
AUGAAAGCACCAGGCACACAAGAGGAGACACCAUUUUGGGCACUUCCGCCCCACUUCAGGGGAUGCCACGUGAAGAAGAGGGGACAGAUCCUACUGGCAGACAGAACCAAAGCCCCCACCCUACAGCCACAAGCAGACAGUAGCCAAAUCCAGCCAUCUGGGCCUCUUGGGGUGAGGCCCAGACACAGUGGAACAGAAAGAAACUGUUCCCGCCUUGUUCUGCCUGAGGGUCCCACUCAGAACGGAGAGCAGAAAUCACAGAUUCUUGCGUCUGCCACGACCCAAGGCUGUCCCCAAAUGCCCACAACAGAACUUCCAGUAAAUGCGGCAGAGCGGGGGUGGGGGGGGGGGGGGGGCGGGGCUGCUGCUUCCAAGAGGCUGGGACCCGGAGACUUGAUGCUGGUAAAGGCAUUGCUUCAGAAAGCCUGACUCUAAACCCCAACCUCACUCCACCGGUGUGAUACACGUGGCCACGCAUUUGGGCAGAAUUCUGGCAGGAUACCAAACAAUUCAUACAGAGGAAAUCUCUGAAUAUUAUGAAUUGGGGAAAAUUUCCUUCAUUUCCGAAUUCAUCCUAGAGAGAGAACCAUGAAUGGCACUGAUGCGGGAACGUCGUCGGGAGGAGGCGAGCAGCUCUGAAGAGAUGGGGAGGACACAGAGCAGUAGCGUGGGCCCCAUAAAAACCAAGCCACGUCAGCCCCACCUUCCGAGCGCCACGCAGGAGAAAGUGCCAUUCUCUGUGGGCUGAGGCAGGGACCUCGCCCAACAGCAGAUAAGUCAUUCCGCAGCCAAGUCUUUCAGAUGCCAUGAAUUGAGGGCGGCGAUCAUUUGAGCAGAAAUCAGCCCUUAUUCAUCUCCCCAAGAUCCUGACUAGGGAGAGGGCUGCGGCUCCUCGGGAAUGAGGGAGCUCGUGGGGGCUCGAGGGGGGCCGCCGCACCGGCCUCCGCAUGCUCGGACCAGAACAUGUUCCUAUCGGAGAAAAACACGACGAACGCAGUCUAGAGAAGGAUUUUGUUGGAACUUGGAACGUUUAGCACCAGCGGUGUAACGGCCUGGCUGUGAGAACCCAGACAGCCCGUGGGACUGUUUGUUCGGGGGACGGUUGAGCCAGUACCGUCUGUGUGGGUCACAGCGCUGAGCGGAAGAGAGGAAUGGGGACAUCGCCCUUCCUCUUCGUCAGUCUUCAGGAAAGUCUGGUGUCACCUUUCCUGUUCCUUGCCUCGGCCUUGUGAGGAUGCCGUCACAUAGUCCCGGCCCGUGUGGGCCUGGGCUCUGGAGGGCAGGAGGUCACCUGUCCGUGAACAGGCUGGUGACCACUGUGACACAGUCCACGCUGGCGAACACAGCCCAGGGGAGGCCGCUGGGCCUGGCUCGUUCAAGCGCUCAGCUGUCCAACAAGUGCCUUUUCAGCAUCUCUUCUGCUCUGGCCCUGGCACUAGUAUUUGCGUGUUAGGGGGUGCGGAUAAAGCACAGGGGAGGAGGAGGGGCCGGCGGCAAGUGGCCCGGGGGACCGAGGGGACAGAAGGGACUUGGGAAAACAGCGGCACCUCUGAGAUUGCGGGCAGUGUGUCCGCGUCCCCGGUCUCAGGGGGGGGCUCGGGAGAGAGCGCAGGGGAGACAGGGAGGAAGAAGUCUGUUCUCCUGUCUGCCAUGCGUUAGGUGCCAAAGCACUCUGCCAAGGGACCCUGCGAGCCGGGUGCCUCUUAGCUCCACUUUGUGAAUAAAACAAGCGACAGGCUCGCCUAUUAAGUGGCCGAGCCAGGACCCGGGGCGACCUCUGUCUCACUCAAGCCACGGCCUUUGCGGGCCACGUUUCCAGAGACGCAGGGGAUGAUGAGAGGGAGUGUGUGGACUGGGGGGAGGGGAGGAAGCAGGGAAGGGGCUGGCUUCUGCAGACCCGACUGUCAGGGGACAGGCAAGGGCUCGAGCCCCGCUUCAUCCGUGUGGCAAGUCUAAACCGAGCCCCACGGCAUGCCAGGCGCUGUACUUUGGCCCUGGGGAUGUGAGUCAGACCGACACGGCCCUGCCCCCAUGGAACUGCCAUUCUAGAAGGAAGCAGACAACCAACCCCGCAUGCUGUGCGGUUUGAAAGGGGAAGCACAGAGAAUUACGGAACCCAGACUCACAGGCGUGAGGGCAACUUUGGGGAAAAAGUAACACGUUGGCUAAGACCCAGAAGAGGAAGCCUCAGCCUGGUUGGUGCAGAGGGGAACGUGCGGGAAGGUCGUCUGGUGACGGAGCAGAGUGACAGGGGCCCAAAGACCGACCGUCUCGUGUGUGUGUGAGGAAACAGCGCAGGUGGGGAGGCAUGCAGCUCAGAACGGACCCCGAGAGCCAUGGGAAACCGUGAAGAGGGUCACAUGUAGGGGUGACUGGGGCAGGUGUGUGGUUUAUCCCUUCCCCGGGAAGCCCACCGCUGCCAGCGAGAGGACAGAGCUGUCCAAGGAUUCCGCAAAUUCGGGCAGCCGUGGUGGAAGAGGGAGGCCGGCAGCUCUUUUCUGCCCCUCGCGGAACAAGAAGGGUUUCCAAGAGAUGCAGUGAGCAGAAGGAGCGAGGACUCGUGUUACUGGGGGCCCUGGACGGGAGCUGCGGGUUCCAGACCCCGGGCAGGGCAGGGAGUGCAGGCGGCUUGCAGACCCACGUGCGAGAGCAAACACCGGCCUCUUGUGGCCAAAAUGGGUAUUGCCGUUGCGUUCACAAACAGGCCUGCGGGCGGGGCCUUCUGGCUUCCCACCCUGAAGAGCGGGGCAGGUAAGUCCCGGCUCCAAGUGGCGGUCCACCCGAGGGGGUCUCCCACCUGUUUUUUCCUGUUUUGUUUUGUUUGUUUGUUUUUAAUUUAUUUGACAGAGAGAUCACAAGCAGGCAGAGAGGCAGGCAGAGAGAGGAAGGAAAGCAGGCUCCCUGCCAAGCAGAGAGCCUUCGAGGGGCUCCAUCCCAGGACCCCGGGACCAUGACCCAAGCCGAAAGCAGAGGCUUUAACCCACUGAGCCACCCAGGCGCCCCUGUUUUUUUUGUUUUUAAGAUUAAUCUGAAUAAUGGGGAAAAUGUGUAUAUAUGCUCAGAAACUGAUGCUAGAGAGACGGUCAAUGUUACCCAUGACUUCAAAACAGAUGACUGCUUUUUUUUUCAUUUUGUUUCGACUUAUUUUAAAAUUUUCUGUUCUAGACACCUAUUCCUUUUGUUAAUAGGAGAAUAAAUGUAUCAUUACUAUUUUUUUUUUUAAGGCUGAACUGACAUAACAGUGGCCCAAGAGGGGACUAAAGGGGAGACCGGGGGCUACGGAGAGAGCAGAACGGCUGUGUGAGGACCCACUCCUCAGGCCCUUCCACACCCCGGGAGCAGAGAGCCCGGCCAGCUGCAGGGCGCGCGGCCUGGAGGACGAGGCCUCCUGAAGGAGCCCUCCGUGCUGUCACUCUGUGUCCUGCUUCGGCUCACACCCCCUGCUCCCUCCUGCCUCUCCAGCUCAUGUGAUCGCUUGUUCUCAUCCGUCUGCCGCCCUCCUGACCUGGUCACACAGGGAGGGGUCUGACCACCCGGUUCUGAGUGAUGUGGAGUGUAUUCCCUACGCCCACAUGGAGGGUCCUCUCUUUUGCAGGCUGAUGCUAAAUGAGGGCUGGGUUUGCCCACAAACUGUGGCCAUGCAAGCUGUGUAUAUGGGGUCUCUAUCUGGACAACUUCGAAUGAAGCACUCACCUGGUCUAGAGUUCUGGUCAAUUCUGUCACCGUCGUGGCUGCUUCUUCCCUCUCCUGCUUGCAACUCUUCUCUUGGGCAGGGCAGCAGCUUGGCCUCCCAUGUGGAGGCUCCCCAGUGCUGGCCCAAGGUUCUGGAACAUUCUGAGGUGUCUCCCAGGUCUGAUACCGGUGAAGAGUCACUCUUGGGAUCUUCUUUCAGCAAGCUCCUUGAUUUAAGGUGAAAGCCUAGUCCUUACUCCUGAAGUCACCAUCUGCAAUCAUAUGUUGAAAAGCCAAAUGUUACCUGUUUGCUCUGCAAAGAAAAGCCAUGGAAAUAAAACGCACGCCUACUGCUGGGGAUAGAUGCAAUAAACCAGGACGUAUAUCACAGCAGUGAGAAAUGAAGUUAUAGUGAAGUAAUUAGUGAUCACACUGUUUUUAAAAAAGAAAAGCAGGGGGCACCUGGGUGGCUCAGUGGCUUAAAGCCUCUGCCUUCGGCUCAGGUCAAGAUCUCAGGGUCCC